CCUUGGUACCCAGAAUCUGUGGGGAAUUGGUUCUAGAACCCUCCCAUACGAAAAUCCAUGGCUGCUCCAGUCCCUUAUACAAAAUGUCAUAGUGUUUGCUAUAACCUUUGUACAUCCUCCAGUAAAUUUUAUUUUAUUUUAUUUUAUUUAUUUAUUUAUUUAUUUAUUUAUUUAUUUAUUUAUUUAUUUUUAAGAUGGAGUCUUGCUCUGUCACCCAGGCUGGAGCAAGUGGUGGGAUCUCAGCUCACCGCAACCUUUGCCUCCCAGGUUCAAGCAAUUCUUCUGCCUCAGCCUCCCCAGUAGCUGGGAUUACAGGCGCAUGCCACCACACCCUACUAAUUUUUUUUGUUUCUAGUCAAGACAGGGUUUCACCAUGUUGGCCAGGCUGGUUUUUGAACUCCUGACCUUAAGUGAUCCACCCGCCUCAACCUCCCGAAGUGCUGGGAUUAUAGACGUGAGCCACCGCACCCAGUCUAUUUUAUGUAUUUAUUGUCAAAAAAUAAAAUAAAAUGUCCUCAAGUGAGAGGGUCUCACUCUGUCAUCCAGGCUGGAGUACAGUGGUGCAAUUACAGGGCUCACUUGCAGUCUCGUCGACCUCCUGGGCUCAGGUGAUUCUCCCACCUAAGCCUCCUGAGUAACUGGGACCACUGGUGUGCACCCCCACACCUGACUAAUUUUUGUAUUUUUUGUAGAGAUGGGAUCUCACCAGGUUGCCCAGCCUAGUCUCAAACUCCUGGGCUCAGGCGAUCCACCAGCCUUGGCCUCCCAAAGUACUGGAUUUAUAGACAUGAGCCACCACGCCCGGCACUCCAGUACAGUUUAAAUCAAUUCUAGAUUACUUAUAACACGUUAAUACAGUGUAAGUGCUAUGUAAAUAGUUGUUAUCCUGUAAUGUUUUUUAUUUGCAUUAUUUUUUAUUGUCAUUAUUUUUGUUAUUUUUUGUUUUUAUUUUCAUUUUCCAUGCAUUGUUGGUUGAACCCAAGGAUGCAGAACCUGAGGAUAUGGGGGGCCAACUUAACAAGUUAAGUCAUGAGCAUUAUCCCUUUGAAAUCUCUCAUCAGUUCUAUGAAGUCCCUAUUUUACAGAUGACAUUAAGGUUUGAGAGAUUAAAUAACUUGUCACACAGCUAAUAAGGGGCAGGACUAGUAUUGAAACCCAGGUCUGUCUGACCCCACCACCAACCUGAGUCCUUCACCACUGCCUGGUACUGCCUCACCAGGCUUUUAGGAGGGUCUCGUGGUGAAAAGUGUGUGAAAGUGUAAUCCGGGGUGUCUCGGCUGACCUAACUAAACUCUUAUUGGUCUUAUUAUUCUUACACUACAGGCUCGGAAUACACAGCAGAGGUUUCAUGGCCCAUGCCCUAGUCCCCCAAAGUAUUUAUUUAUUUAUUUAUUUAUUUAUUUAUUUAUUUAUUUAUGAGAUGGAGUUUUGCUCUUGUUGCCCAGGCUGGAGUGCAAUGGCGCAAUCUCGGCUCACCGUAACCUCCGCCUCCCGGGUUCAAGCAAUUCUCUUGCCUCAGCCUCCCGAGUAGCUGGGAUUAUAGGCAUGCGCCACCACGCCCGGCUAGUUUUGUAUUUUUAGUAGAGACGGGGUUUCUCCAUGUUGGUUUGGCUGGUCUCGAACUCCUGACCUCAGGUGAUCCACCCUCUUCGGCCUCCCAAAGUGCUGGGAUUACAGGCGUGAGCCACCGCGCCCGGCCCCAAAGUAUUUUCCUUAGCUGCCAACCGACAGCCAUUAAGUUCAGAGUCAUUAGGGUCCCUCUGCUCCCCCAUGUUCACUUUGGCUCCCUAGAGCAUUGCCACAUAGUGAGGAGACACUGCACCGUGUGGGUGGGGACCAGGUGGCCGUGGAGAGGUGGCAGUCUGGGACGCAGAGACAGGUUUAUUGUCAGCAUUGCACAGAGGCCAGGAGGCAAGAACACGGAAGGGUAGCAGUGCAGGUCUGGAGGUCUCCAGGGAACUCCAAUCCUCUCAUCCAACUCCCGGACCGGCCUUGGGACACUGCCCAGAUGCGUAACUGGAAGCCAGAGGACCCCAAUAGGAGGAGCAUCCUGGGGAACCUAGGGUCCUGGAAGGGCAGCCCUGCCUCACUCGCCCCUGCGUCCUGGACGCCCCUGCGUCCCUUGUGCGGACAUAGAGCACAGCUUGGUCAGGCUGAGCAGGCUGGCACUCCAGAGCAGAGCCCCCAACCCCAGCUUGCAGAUAAAGUAGAAAAGGGGGCUUGGCGGGGGCGGAGCUUAAUGAUGGGCGGGAACAGGCGGAAACUACAGGGAGUCCAGCCAAUCCCUCCAAUGGAUGAGGCCAAAUAAGGGGGCGGGGCUAGAGAGUGCUGAACUAGAGAGGGCUGAGCUGAAGCUUGAGGGCAGGCCAAGGGGCGUGGUCAUUAUGGUCAUUAUGUUGCGGGUGGGGCCGGGGUCCGCCUGCCUUGCUGACUGAAACAGCGUCUCCCGGUUGUCUGCCACCGCCUGCUUGGCCAGGUAGCGCUC
rnacentral:lncRNA from 1 species